UGGGGAAUAUUGCACAAUGGAGGAAACUCUGAUGCAGCGACGCCGCGUGGAGGAAGAAGGUCUUCGGAUUGUAAACUCCUGUUGUUGAGGACGAUAAUGACGGUACUCAACAAGGAAGUGACGGCUAACUACGUGCCAGCAGCCGCGGUAAAACGUAGGUCACAAGCGUUGUCCGGAAUUACUGGGUGUAAAGGGAGCGCAGGCGGGAAUGCAAGUUGGGAGUGAAAUCUACGGGCUCAACCCGUAAACUGCUCUCAAAACUGUAUUUCUUGAGUAGUGCAGAGGUAGGCGGAAUUCCCGGUGUAGCGGUGGAAUGCGUAGAUAUCGGGAGGAACACCAGUGGCGAAGGCGGCCUACUGGGCACCAACUGACGCUGAGGCUCGAAAGUGUGGGUAGCAAACAGGAUUAGAUACCCUGGU
rnacentral:rRNA from 1 species